UAUGGCCAUAUCCCGAUGAAUCACCGGUUCUCAUACGACCACCGAAUUUAAGUUAGGUCAAGCCUGGUCUCUACCUAGAUGGGUGACUGCUUGGGAAUAUCAGGUGCUAUAA